rnacentral:rRNA from 1 species
UACAGAGGGGGCAAGCGUUGUUCGGAAUUACUGGGCGUAAAGGGCGCGUAGGCGGCCUGUUAAGUCGAACGUGAAAUCCCUGGGCUCAACCCAGGAACUGCGUCCGAUACUGGCAGGCUUGAAUUCGGGAGAGGGAUGCGGAAUUCCAGGUGUAGCGGUGAAAUGCGUAGAUAUCGGGAAGAACACCAACGGCGAAAGCACUCUGCUGGGCCGAAAAACUGACACUGAUAGACGAAAGCUAGGGGAGCAAAUGGG